CCGGCCGGCGGGUCGCGGGACGGCGGGAGGGGGCGCUGCGAUCUUGGCCGCGGCCUCCACCCGAGCCGCGUGUGGGAGUCGCGAUGUCUUCCCGGCCGGGGCGCGACGACGCGGGGGCGCGGGGCGUGCGGCGGCAGCGGGAGCCGGCGGAGCAGGAGCUGCAGCGGCGCCGGGAGCAGAAGCGGCGGCGACACGACGCGCAGCAGCUGCAGCAGCUCAAACACCUAGAGUCCUUCUAUGAAAAACCUCCUCCUGGGCUUAUUAAGGAAGAUGAGACUAAACCAGAAGACUGUAUUCCUGAUGUACCAGGCAAUGAACAUGCCAGGGAAUUUCUGGCUCACGCGCCAACUAAAGGACUUUGGAUGCCACUGGGGAAAGAAGUCAAAGUUAUGCAGUGUUGGCGAUGCAAACGGUAUGGUCACCGAACGGGUGACAAAGAAUGCCCUUUUUUUAUCAAAGGCAACCAGAAGUUAGAACAGUUCAGAGUAGCACAUGAAGAUCCCAUGUAUGACAUCAUUCGAGAGAAUAAAAGACAUGAAAAGGAUGUGAGGAUUCAGCAACUAAAACAGUUACUGGAGGAUUCCACCUCAGAUGAGGAUGGGAGCAGUUCCAGUUCUUCAGAAUGUAAAGAAAAGCAUAAGAAAAAGAAGAAGAAAGAAAAGCAUAAGAAAAGGAAGAAGGAAAAGAAAAAGAAGAAAAAACGGAAGCAUAAGUCUUCUAAGUCAAGUGAGAGUUCAGACUCGGACUGACAAGAAUUAGAUUCUCUACAAAAAUCAAACACUGUGGCCAAAGAACAGAGGGAGAUGUGACCCAGGAGUAACAAGUGACAGAGGACAUCUGGCUUCACAGCUGUGGAUUCUUACCACCUUGCCAUGCUGGUAACCAAGAGAAGAGAUUCCAAGCCUAUGAAAGAUGUCAUGUGCCAUCACUGGCUUUUAAAGAUAAAGACAAAGGGCCACAAGAUGAGACUGUUGCAGACCCUAAUAGUAGGUCCUGAGCAAGGAAAUGCCUUCAGCUGAAAGCAACAAGAACUGAAUUCUGCUUCCUCAGUGACAUGGAUGCAUAUUGUUCCCCAGAGCCUCAGGUGAGGACAUCGAGAUUUGGAGAUGCUAAUUAAUCCACCUAUAUUGGAGAAGUUGCCAUCAUAAUAGUUGGGAGAGGAGUAACCUGAGAUCUUUGGAUUCCUAAACCCAGUGCCUUUCCUGUUGUUGGGGUAGUCAUUAUUGCCCUCAUUUUGAUAUUCUCUGUUCUGCUUUAAAAGAGAUGGAUUUUAUUUUCCUCUCAGUUGACACUAUUGAUCCCAGAUGUAGAAUUCUUUUUUUUUUUUUUUUCUUUGCUGUGCUGGAAUUCAACUCCAAGGCUUCAUGCUUGUUAAGCAGCCCUCUACCACUGAGCAAUAUUCCUAGCCCCUUUUUAAAGAUUUUGUUAUUUGGUUUCUGGUGCUGGCAAUUGAACUCAGGCACCACCAGCUAUACCUUUAACCAGAUGGAAAAUUUAAACAUUAAGUAGAAAGAUGGUCUUCCCUUUUGUUUUAGUCAGCUUAUUCGCUGCUGUGACUAAAAGGACCCAACCAGAACAACUAUAGAGGAGGAGAAGUUUAUUUAAGAGCUCACAGUUUUUAGUUCAUAAACAGCAGGAUCCAUUCCUUGGGGCUCAAGGCAGGACAUCAUGGCUGGCAGAGUGUGACAGAAGGUAGCAGCUCACAUGCCAAUCAGGAAGCAGAGAGAGUCCAAUCACCAGAUACAAAAUAUAUACCCAAAGCCAGGCC